rnacentral:rRNA from 1 species
UACGGGGGGGGGCAAGCGUUGUUCGGAAUUACUGGGCGUAAAGGGCUCGUAGGCGGCCAACUAAGUCAGACGUGAAAUCCCCAGGCUCAACCUGGGAACUGCGUCCGAUACUGGCAGGCUUGAAUCCGGGAGAGGGAUGUGGAAUUCCAGGUGUAGCGGUGAAAUGCGUAGAUAUCGGAAGGAACAUCAGUGGCGAAAGCGACUUCCUGGACCAAUACUGACGCUCAUGUGCGAAAGCGUGGGGAGCAAACAGG